CCUGGAAUGUCGGCAAGUCCAGCACUGCCAUGGAGACCAGUAGAUUGAAAGUGGCUGCCGCCAAUGAAACCGUACGCGGCGGAAUGCAUUCACCUGCCGAAUAAAAGAUGUGUAUAAAAAAAGAAUACAAACUGAAAAUUAUAAAAAAGAAACAAUAGAAGACAAGGCUUUCAAGAGUCUUAUCUCAUGUAUAUGGUACAUAAGAAGCAUUUGCACUAGCCGGAUAUGACGCUAAUAAAAAACAUUAAAGGGUAAAAUCACUAAUUUCCGCCUUCGCGUACAACUCACGUCGCGUUCACACACACACACACACAGACACACAAAUAUUCGACAGACAGAAAGCCAAUCAACUGUUAAAUGCACUUUGCACUCGAUUAGAAUGUACUUAGACGAAUGAGUGUGCGAAAGAUGCACGCACUAAAGAGAAUGCAAUAAAUCACGAAAUCGUAGAGGAAAGCAGCACAAUGAAUCACAGACAAGCGGCAGUUACUCACCGAUUGGCACCACGCACGCGUAGAGCAUCGAAACCGAACCGAAAAGUUCCGUGGAUUUGGCUGCGCUCAGGAAACGCGUCGCAUCUGUGGGUCCUUAAAGAGAGGAAGAAGAAGAAAAA
rnacentral:lncRNA from 1 species